rnacentral:misc_RNA from 1 species
AACGCAAGUUGCGCCUGAGGCCUCCCGGCUGAGGGCACGUCUGCCUGGGCGUCACGCAUCACGUCGCCUGCAACAAACGUCCUUGCUUGGAUUGUGAUGUAUGCGGGCGGAGACUGGUCUCCCGUGCCCAUGGCGCGGCUGGCCUAAAUACGAGUCCGGUUAAGAGUGACGCACGACUUCUGGUGGUUGACUACGCGGUCGUCUCGUGUCGUGUGUUUCGAUUCUUAAAGGGAAACGCUCUUGAACUACCCUGAUGCGCCGUCUUGUGACGGCCCUUCGAUCGCGACCCCAGGUCAGGCGGGACUACCCGCUGAGUUUAA